CAGCGCGCGGAACCCGUCGGGGGAGGGGAGAGAGAGGGCGAAGUCUCCGCCCCUAACCGGGCGGGUAAGAACGGAAAUCGCUUGCUGAAGAAGAGGAAGGACCGAUUUCCUUUGACGCUUGGGACCAGACCAAAAGGGAAAGCCCAUUUUCCCGCCUCCGCUGGUUCCAUCCCUACUUAGGUAGAAGGCUAAGUGUCAGGAAAAUAUGGGCGCUAACGGAAUCAGUCUCCAGCUCCAAACUGUACUGAGUGGAGGGGCAAGGAAAGAAUGCAAGAAAGGUCCGGAGAGCCCGGAAGAGCCGCCAUGUUACCGGAGUCCUAAGACUCGGCGGGAGCCAGAGCCCAGCAGGACCUCGUGGCGCAACGGUAGCGCGUCUGACUCCAGAUCAGAAGGCUGCGUGUUCGAAUCACGUCGGGGUCACGGCUUUUUAUUUCUGAAGUCGCUGGCUUGUGUAAACCUAGGUGUAUUCCCGCCAAUUUUUGAAAAAUAUCUUUCGUUUUAGGAUUCAAUGUUCAUUGAUCAAAUGUUAUCCUAGUAGUACUUUGUCUGCAAAAAGACAAGGCUAACUGAAUAUCGUAGAGCCUGAAAGCUUAUGUUUUUAUGUACCCUUAGGCCUUGUAAAGUGAGUUUUCUGUCGCUUAACGUUCGUAAUGUGUAGAAAUGAGGACUUUCUGUUGUGCAUUAGUGGGCAUACCUAUCCACUGUGGUCCUUCACAGGAAAUGUACAAUGCAGUGUCCAAGCUGUUUUUCCAAAACCGGUUUCAGACCCGUUCGCCUUUUGAAAGCAAGUGAAACUGUGGCACACAGAGGAAUAGUGACCUGCCAAGGGUCGCCCAGGAUUCCAACCCAGUUCUGGAGGCUCGAAGUCCAAGAUCAAGAUUAGCCCUGAGCUAACAUCUGCUGCCAAUCCUCCUAUUUUUGCUGAGGAAGACUGGCCCUGAGCUAACAUCCGUGCCCAUCUUCCUCUACUUUAUAUGUGGGACGCCUACCACAGCAUGGCUUGCCAAGCAGUGCCAUGUCCACACCCGGGAUCUGAACUGGUGAACCCUGGGCCACCAAAGCACAACGUGUGAACUUAACCACUGUGCCACCAGGCCGGCUCCUCAUAUUCUUAAAUAAAUGUCGAGAACAUAGUUUUUAUGACCAUGUAGUAUUUCAUCAUCUGCUCUGUUUGAGGUGACACCCUUAAAUUCACAACCAAGCUCUAUGCAAAACAGGAUAAUGAAAAACAAAAAAGUCAGCUGUGCAUUAAUAACAUUAAGAACUUCAAAAAGGGAAAUGAAGGCUGUUAUCCAAGUGAUUUAGGAAAAAAAGUUUUGGAAGAGUUUUCUGACAAAGUAGUUGCAUCAAUUUU
rnacentral:tRNA from 1 species